rnacentral:rRNA from 1 species
CCAGACUCCUACGGGAGGCAGCAGUGGGGAAUAUUGCACAAUGGGGGAAACCCUGAUGCAGCGACGCCGCGUGAGCGAAGAAGUAUUUCGGUAUGUAAAGCUCUAUCAGCAGGGAAGAAAAAAAUGACGGUACCUGAGUAAGAAGCACCGGCUAACUACGUGCCAGCAGCCGCGGUAAUACGUAGGGGGCGAGCGUUAUCCGGAUUCACUGGGUGUAAAGGGAGCGUAGACGGCCAUGCAAGCCAGGGGUGAAAGCCCGGGGCCCAACCCCGGGACUGCCCUUGGAACUGCAUGGCUGGAGUGCGGGAGGGGCAGGCGGAAUUCCUGGUGUAGCGGUGAAAUGCGUAGAUAUCAGGGGGAACACCGGCGGCGAAGGCGGCCUGCUGGACCGCGACUGACGUUGAGGCUCGAAAGCGUGGGGAGCGAACAGGAUUAGAUACCCGCGUA